UACGUAGGGUGCGAGCGUUAAUCGGAAUUACUGGGCGUAAAGCGUGCGUAGGCGGCUUGUUGAGUCGGUGGUGAAAUCCCCGGGCUCAACCUGGGAACUGCCUUUGUGACUGCAAGGCUUGAGUGCGGCAGAGGGGGAUGGAAUUCCGCGUGUAGCAGUGAAAUGCGUAGAUAUCGAGAGGAACACCUGCGGCGAAGGCGGGUUGCUGGGCUGACACUGACGCUGAGGCGCGAAAGCUAGGGGAGCGAACGGG
rnacentral:rRNA from 1 species